CAAAGGGAAUGUUCGGCUGUAACCUUGCGAUGGAAGCAAGGGAUACAGUGCCACCAGGGCUGUGGUGGGAGCAGUUUGGUGACUCAGCGCCCGUGCUGCAACGGG